CCAGACUCCUACGGGAGGCAGCAGUGGGGAAUAUUGCACAAUGGGGGAAACCCUGAUGCAGCGACGCCGCGUGAGUGAAGAAGUAAUUCGUUAUGUAAAGCUCUAUCAGCAGGGAAGAAAAUGACGGUACCUGAAGAAGAAGCCCCGGCUAACUACGUGCCAGCGGCCGCGGUAAUACGUAGGGGGCAAGCGUUAUCCGGAUUUACUGGGUGUAAAGGGGGCGCAGACGGCGAUGCAAGCCAGGAGUGAAAGCCCGGGGCCCAACCCCGGGACUGCUCUUGGAACUGCGUGGCUGGAGUGCAGGAGGGGCAGGCGGAAUUCCUGGUGUAGCGGUGAAAUGCGUAGAUAUCAGGAGGAACACCGGUGGCGAAGGCGGCCUGCUGGACUGCAACUGACGUUGAGGCCCGAAAGCGUGGGGAGCAAACAGGAUUAGAUACCCCUGUAGCC
rnacentral:rRNA from 1 species